rnacentral:snRNA from 1 species
AGAUGUAAGGGUGAUCUGGCUAGCUAGGCAGGUGUCCCUGUCCUCCCUUACCACUCCAUGUGUAUCCCUCAUGAAGCUGUGCUGGGCCAAAGAGGACAGCCUUCCCCGAAACAGAGACUGACUUUGGUCGAGACCUCUUUGGUCAAGGCUUUACAAGUAGCUGCACUCCCCAGCUAGAACCUCCAAAUAAGCUCUCACGCAAAGUUUGGUUUUUGCAGCAGGGUUAUUUCUGGAGCUUGGAGUCUGAACAACAAAUCCACUAUCCCU